AAUAAAAAAAGAAUCACAUUUUAUUUGUCACGUGCCUAAUACAACAUUUCAGCCCUAAGCCUUUUAAAACUACUGGACGACUGGCAUGUUGUCAUCAUCAUCUUCAAAUGUAAAUAUUUAUUAAGUGAAUGUAGAACAUUUCAUUUCUUUUUGGUCUCCUCUUACAUAUGAUAUCAUGCAGUAUUGAUGACCAAUUAUUUUAAAUACCCAUUUACAGGUGGGUGUUAAAACAUUGUCGGUAGAUGGGGUUAUUUAUCCAGGUCAAGAGCUUUGAGGUCUUGUGAAAAGCACUAUAAUUGUUAUUUUCGGUUUAUUUGGACUGUUGUACCUUGGAGAAUGCUUUAAGUAAUCUCAGCUAUUUCGAUUAUUGCUUAACACAACGGAAGAAGGUAUGCUUGGGCAAACUUUUCGUGUACUGUACAUGAAAUAGGCCUGUAAAGCACUAGGAUUAAUACCAAUGCACCACACCCUAGCUCGUGACCUACUUUUCAGGUUGCCAUUGUAAAGAUCUGGCUCAGCUCAAACGUCAGCCUCCUAUGAGGAUAAUCUAUGCCCAAAUAGGGUAAACAAUCAUUUGAUUGGAUCAGUGAUCAGACUCUGACCAAUCAAAAAAGCUGUCUCCUACCAAGACACAAGAAAGCGCCUUGUUGUAAGGAAGUAGCCUACAAUCAAGAAAUGUAGAGGAGCAGUGAUGUGACGGCAUCUCUAUGCAGCUGGAAUGGUAAUAUUUUAUUCACAAUGAGCCAUUCAAUGGAGUCUGCAACUCAGAUCAAAAAGUGGACGAAGGAAGAAGUUCAUCAGUGGUUGACGACGCAGGUUAACAUUCACCAUAUAUAUGCAGACAAGUUGCUAGAAGAGGAGGUAUCAGGGGAAUACCUAGAAUACUUCCAAAAGAAGGAUCUUCUGGAUCUGAACAUAAAACAUGGUCCGGCUGUGAAAAUUGUGUCAAUGCUUGAGGAUUUGAAGAGUGGAUUACAGCAUAAAUCACAAUUUCCUGCAUACAUCAAGAAAUGGACACCAGAACAAGUUUGUCAGUGGUUAAGGGAAGAGGCGAAGUUAUACCACCAAUAUGUAGAGCGGAUUUUGGAAGAGGAAGUGUCAGGCGAUUGCCUGUUUUGCUUCAAAAAGAAUGAUCUUGUGGAACUAGGCAUUAAACAUGGUCCUGCUGUUAAAAUAAUUGGCAUGCUAGAACAGUUAAACAAUGGACCAGAGCCUAUAUUACAACCCCCCACACACAUCAACAGUGACCAAGAAAAUCUACAGAAAACACCUGAGAAGCAAGUAGAACUAUGUCAAGUUCUACCAGUUCAGACUGUAUCCCCCAUGAAGACAGAACCAAACACGGAAGAGCCCAGAAUAGUGGAACCACCAGGGAAAACUGUUACAAGAAAGAAAGAACCAAAACCACAGGCCAUGGGUGCAGAAAUGUUACUGUCCAAGAUGACAAGUUCACUUACCUUGCUCCAGCAUACCCUUGACGACUUACAGCAGGACGAGUUUAAACGGUUUAAGUCUUGUCUGAAAGACUUCAAACUGAAUGGAUGUAGAUCGAUUGCACGGUGUCACUUGGAAGACAACAAGAGCCGCACAGAUGUAGCGGACUCAAUGACAAAGCACUAUGAGGAAGAGACAUUAAAUGUCACACUUCAGAUUCUAGAGAGAAUCGGACACAAUGAACUUGCUGGCCUACUGAAAAGUGCUAUGGGUAAGUGAAACAAUGUUUAUUUUAUAGAUUAACUUUAUUUGUCAGGGGACAAUGUACAACAACUUCAGUCUCAGAAUUUUAGAAUUGAUGCGUUGCACCAGAUUUAGCUUACAGCUGUCUCUCAAGUGGUGCAGUGGUCUAAGGCACUGCAUCACAGUGCUAGCUGUGCCACUAGAGAUCCUGGUUCGAGUCCAGGCUCUGUCGCAGCCGGCCGUGACCGGAGACCCAUGGGGCGGCGCACAAUUGGCCCAACGUCAUCCAGGUUUGGAUGGCAGGGAUAUUCUUGUCCCAUCGCGCUAUAGCAACUCCUGUGGCAGGCCGUUUGCACUGCUGACACGGUCACCAGGUGUUUCCUCCGACACAUUGGUACGGGUUAAGCGGGCAUUGUGUCAAUGUUUGGCUGGGUUGUGUUUCGGAGGAUGCACGGCUCUCGACUUUCGCCUCUCCCGAGUCCGUACGGGAGUUGCAGCGAUGAGACAAGACUGUAACUACCAAUUGGAUACCACGAAAAUGGGGUAAAAUUAAAAUAAAACAACUUUAAAGAUUUAGCUGACAGCUAAUUUACAUCUGCUGUACCCGGGCAGUACAGUAUACAGUAUACAAUACAGUAUAAACAGUAUAAACAUGAAAAGAUUAUGUACAAACAUUUUGAUUUCGCUCACAUUAGUCUAUGAAUCUCAAGUCACAACCAAUGUAACUGCAUUGUUUUUAAAAGUCAUUAAUUAUCAAAUUGUCACAAACAAGAUCACCAGUAAUAUUUGUUUGGAUCACCAGUAAUUGAUUUAGUUUUGCAA
rnacentral:lncRNA from 13 species